rnacentral:rRNA from 1 species
GCUAGUAAUCGCGAAUCAGAAUGUCGCGGUGAAUACGUUCCCGGGUCUUGUACACACCGCCCGUCACACCAUGGGAGUCAGUAACGCCCGAAGUCAGUGACCCAACCUUUUAGGAGGGAGCUGCCGAAGGUGGGACCGAUAACUGGGGUGAAGUCGUAACAAGGUACC